AGAGGGGCUGACACCCUUGUACCAUCCACUUGUGACCGGAACACAUAGUUUCCAGCAGCGCGGUUCCAAAACCUAUUGACUUGACUUUGCCAGUGUGAAACCUACCACACUAUUCCGGGACCAGCAGCAGCGCAAGUAAUUGUCCGUGUUGGGACACAGGACUGACUUUCUCUGUUAUAUCUGUAUUUU